rnacentral:rRNA from 1 species
GAUGAACGCUGGCGGCGUGCCUAAUACAUGCAAGUCGAGCGAACGGACGAGAAGCUUGCUUCUCUGAUGUUAGCGGCGGACGGGUGAGUAAAACGUGGAUAACCUACCUAUAAGACUGGGAUAACUUCGGGAAACCGGAGCUAAUACCGGAUAAUAUUUUGAACCGCAUGGUUCAAAAGUGAAAGACGGUCUUGCUGUCACUUAUAGAUGGAUCCGCGCUGCAUUAGCUAGUUGGUAAGGUAACGGCUUACCAAGGCAACGAUGCAUAGCCGACCUGAGAGGGUGAUCGGCCACACUGGAACUGAGACACGGUCCACACUCCUACGGGAGGCAGCAGUCGGGAAUCUUCCGCAAUGGGCGAAAGCCUGCCGGAGCAACGCCGCGUGAGUGAUGAAGGUCUUCGGAUCGUAAAACUCUGUUAUUAGGGAAGAACAUAUGUGUAAGUAACUGUGCACAUCUUGACGGUACCUAAUCAGAAAGCCACGGCUAACUACGUG